rnacentral:lncRNA from 1 species
CGAAACCAUCCAUGAGAGGAGACCCAGGCUGAGCCUGCACGGGUGCCCUUUUGCGAGAAAUGGAAGAGCAGCAUUGGGCAAUCAGCUCCAAGUUCAUCGGUCAGCAGCAGCACAGCAAAAGUAGACUGGGGACAAUCUGCACGAUGGAGGGAGCCCAGCUCCUGGCACAUCCUGGAGGAAAUGGUAGCAGGGACAUAGAGCACAUGCGGGACAGUAAAUACAGACACAGCCCCGGGGACAGCUCCGUCUGCCCAUGCGGAAAGAGUUCAACACUUCUCCCGGGCUGGCCCAGAAUUCCUGAAAGGCCUACGGUGGCAAGCCCUUGAGCAGAACAAGCCCACUCCCAGCCCUGGCCCCUCCUCGGGCUGUCAUCUGUACCUGUGUUCUUCCUUCAUAAAAAUCCACCGUGCACUCCAAAAGAGUAACUAG